rnacentral:rRNA from 1 species
UGGGGAAUUUUGGACAAUGGGCGAAAGCCUGAUCCAGCAAUGCCGCGUGUGUGAAGAAGGCCUUCGGGUUGUAAAGCACUUUUGUCCGGAAAGAAAUCCUUGGCUCUAAUACAGUCGGGGGAUGACGGUACCGGAAGAAUAAGCACCGGCUAACUACGUGCCAGCAGCCGCGGUAAUACGUAGGGUGCAAGCGUUAAUCGGAAUUACUGGGCGUAAAGCGUGCGCAGGCGGUUUGCUAAGACCGAUGUGAAAUCCCCGGGCUCAACCUGGGAACUGCAUUGGUGACUGGCAGGCUAGAGUAUGGCAGAGGGGGGUAGAAUUCCACGUGUAGCAGUGAAAUGCGUAGAGAUGUGGAGGAAUACCGAUGGCGAAGGCAGCCCCCUGGGCCAAUACUGACGCUCAUGCACGAAAGCGUGGGGAGCAAACAGGAUUAGAUACCCUGGUAGUCCACGCCCUAAACGAUGUCAACUAGUUGUUGGGGAUUCAUUUCCUUAGUAACGUAGCUAACGCGUGAAGUUGACCGUCUGGGGAGUACGGUCGCAAGAUUAAAACUCAAAGGAAUUGACGGGGUCAUAGCUGUUUCCU